rnacentral:rRNA from 1 species
AAUCAACGCUGGCGGCGUGCCUAACACAUGCAAGUCGAACGCGAAAGGCCCCUUCGGGGGCCCGGUAGAGUGGCGGACGGGUGAGUAACACGUGGGUAAUUUGCCUUUGGGUGGGGAAUAACACCUCGAAAGAGGUGCUAAUACCGCAUAACGCAGCGGCACCGCAUGGUGACAGUUGUUAAAGCGGGGGAUCGCAAGACUCGCGCCU